rnacentral:rRNA from 1 species
GAUGAACGCUGGCGGCGUGCCUAAUACAUGCAAGUCGAGCGAACAGAUGAGGAGCUUGCUCCUCUGACGUUAGCGGCGGACGGGUGAGUAACACGUGGAUAACCUACCUAUAAGACUGGGAUAACUUCGGGAAACCGGAGCUAAUACCGGAUAAUAUAUUGAACCGCAUGGUUCAAUAGUGAAAGACGGUUUUGCUGUCACUUAUAGAUGGAUCCGCGCCGAAUUAGCUAGUUGGUAAGGUAACGGCUUACCAAGGCAACGAUGCGUAGCCGACCUGAGAGGGUGAUCGGCCACACUGGAACUGAGACACGGUCCAGACUCCUACGGGAGGCAGCAGUAGGGAAUCUUCCGCAAUGGGCGAAAGCCUGACGGAGCAACGCCGCGUGAGUGAUGAAGGUCUUCGGAUCGUAAAACUCUGUUAUUAGGGAAGAACAAAUGUGUAAGUAACUAUGCACGUCUUGACGGUACCUAAUCAGAAAGCCACGGCUAACUACGUG